GACGAACGCUGGCGGCGUGCCUAACACAUGCAAGUCAACUUGAGGGAAGGAGCAAUCUGACCUGAUGGUGGCGCAAGGGUGCGUAACGCGUAAGUAACUUGCCCAAGGUAAGGAAUAAACGUCGAGAAAUCGGCGCUAAUACCUCAUAAUGCAGCGGAUCCGCAUGGAUAUGUUGUUAAAGGUUUACCGCCUUGGGAUAGGCUUGCGUCUGAUUAGCUAGUUGGUGUGGUAAUGGCACACCAAGGCUACGAUCAGUAAACUGGUCUGAGAGGAUGAUCAGUCACACUGGAACUGAGACACGGUCCAGACUCCUACGGGAGGCAGCAGUUGAGGAAUAUUGGGCAAAUGCACGAAAAGUAGUGACCCACGCAACGACCGCGUGGAGGAUGAA
rnacentral:rRNA from 1 species